GACGAACCGUGCGAACGUUGUUCGGAUUCACUGGGCUUAAAGGGCGCGUAGGCGGGUGCUCAAGUCCGUGGUGAAAUCCUCCGGCUCAACCGGAGAACUGCCUCGGAUACUGGGUGCCUCGAGGGUGGUAGGGGUAUGCGGAACUAUCGGUGGAGCGGUGAAAUGCGUUGAUAUCGAUAGGAACUCCGGUGGCGAAGGCGGCAUACUGGACCACCUCUGACGCUGAGGCGCGAAAGCCAGGGGAGCAAACGGG
rnacentral:rRNA from 1 species